CACAAACCACACCCAUGUGAGAUAUGGGAAUGAAGAUCACCCUUCCUGCCCAGCUGCCAACUAUUUGGACUCAAUUACUGAAAUUAUCUCAAUGGUUUGUAACUUGGUGUCCCUCACUAUAACGGCAGCCCAUAAGAACAGGCGAAAAAAACCUCAUCAACAUGAAGCAGAGAGGAGCAGAGGGCUAUUGUUGAGGGAGCUGGUCUGGAUCAAGAGCAAAGCAUGUGCAAAGCAAGGGGGAAGCCAAAGGAAGGAAGCCCAACUGUGUCAAGUCAGGAGGUGGCAAACCUGGCUGGAGCAGCCAACAGCUGGAGAGAAAGGACAUCAGGAUUUGAACUCCCAGAAGCUUGAGUGGAAGUGCCUCACCCAUAAAUCAAGGCCUGUCUAGCCAGUCCAGUCCAGCCUGCAGUGUCCCUGGGCCCUUGAGUGCAAGCCUGAACAACUUCAACCCUCAUUUUCUGACUAUAACUGUAUCCCCAAAAGAAAAUAAACUGAUGUUCAGACCUGCCUUCAGAGUUGGUGUAGUGGUUUCUUACCUGGUCGCUCUUAGGACUCUUUUUUUUCAGAGGCUAGAGGCCCCAUCCCUCUAGGUCCCACCAUCAUAGAAGACACACAGAAGACUUCAAGCUGCCCCCGGAGACCAGGCUUAGAACACGGCCUUGGGGACCUAAAACCGGCCAGGGCACCAGAGGGACCAACAAGAGCGACCUAUCUUCAGCAGCCCAGAACAACAGGCAAAAAAACCCCUGAUCAACAUGAAGCAGAGGGAAGCAGAGGGGCAUUGCUGAGGGAGCUGGUCUGAAUCAAGAGCACCGCACAUGCAAAAGAAAGUAAGCCCUGGUGGUAGAGUUUGAGCCUGGCCUGGCAUGUUUUUAAGUAAUUAGAAUUUUAAUGGAAGGAUGGACAUUUUUUAAUAGAAAAUUAACCAAGUGGGAUUCACUUGUGCAUGAAUACAAUGGGAAUGUGCAAUAGACUAAUUAUUUCUGAGAGACCAACACUGUAAGGGGAAGCCCAAGGAAGGAAGCCCAACUGUGCCAAGUCAGGAGGUGGCAAACCUGGCUGGAGCAGCGAACAGCUGGAGAGAAAGAACACCAGGAUUUGAACUCCCAGGAGCUAAAGUGGAAGUGCUUCCCCAUAACCCAAGGCCCGUCUGGGGCCAGUCCAAUCCAGCCUGCAGUGUCCCUGGGCCCUUGUGUGCAAGCCUGAACUUCAACCCACAUUCUCGGACGAUAACUGUGUCCCCAAAAGAAAAUUGAUGUUCAGACCUGCCUUCAGAGUUGGUGUAGUGGUUUCUUACCUGGUCACUCUUAGGUCUCUUUUUUUUUUUUUUUUUUGAAAUUGCAUAGCAGCAAUCUUUGUAACACUUAUAGAUAACACUCUUUUCUAUGUCAGUACAGCCCUGAUGGCAAACACUGCCAGCAGCCCCGGUCCAGUGUUUGGUAUGUUACUAGAAAGUGGAUCAACUCAUUACAUAC